AUGAACGCUGGCGGCGUGCCUAAUACAUGCAAGUCGAGCGCACAGACGAGGAGCUUGCUCCUCUGACGUUAGCGGCGGCCGGGUGAGUAACCCGUGGAUAACUUACCUAUAAGACUGGGAUAACUUCGGGAAACCGGAGCUAAUACCGGAUAAUAUAUUGAACCGCAUGGUUCAAUAGUGAAAGUCGGUUUUGCUGUCACUUAUAGAUGGAUCCGCGCCGCAUUAGCUAGUUGGUAAGGUAACGGCUUACUAAGGCAACGACGCGUAGCCGACGUGAGAGGGUGGUCGGCCACACUGGAGCUGAGACACGGUCCAGACGCCUACGGGAGGCAGCAGUAGGGAAUCUUCCGCAGUGGUCGAGAACUUGACGGAGCGACGCCGCGUGAGUGGUGAAGGUCUUCGGAUCGUAAAGCUCUGUUAUUAGGGGAGAACAAAUGUGUAAGUAACUGUACACGUCUUGACGGUACCUAAUCAGAAAGCCACGGCUAACUACGUG
rnacentral:rRNA from 1 species